rnacentral:rRNA from 1 species
CCUACGGGAGGCAGCAGUGAGGAAUAUUGGUCAAUGGACGAGAGUCUGAACCAGCCAAGUAGCGUGAAGGAUGACUGCCCUAUGGGUUGUAAACUUCUUUUAUACGGGAAUAAAGUGAGGCACGUGUGCCUUUUUGUAUGUACCGUAUGAAUAAGGAUCGGCUAACUCCGUGCCAGCAGCCGCGGUAAU